rnacentral:lncRNA from 1 species
ACAGGGCAAAUGCUGCCCAUCCUCGGCGUCCGGGCGUGGCUUCAAAAGCUUGGGGCCGGGUGGUGCUGACCCCGCACAACCUGGCGCCCCUGUAGCUGCUGGAGCGGUUGACUCAGAAUGGAAGGAAACGGUGGGGUGUGCGUUACUCGGUGGUGAUAGAAAAGAGGCGGCAGCUUAGCGCCAAGAAUAAAUGACCGCGGGAAUCCCUGCCCUUAGGCGCACGUCUUGGCAUGAGAGCUGUAACAGGGCGGCAGGCUGGGCGCCAGGGGGCCUGGACUGCUGUCCAGUGGCGGUCCCCGAAUAUCCUGGGCUCUUCCGGGAAGUGCUGCUCCAGUGAGACCGGAGCCUCCCCCUACGGAGGAAGUGAUGUGAUGCGCGUUGCUCUGCUCAAAGGAGCGCCAUUCCCCUGGUUUCGCCUUGCUGAAGUUUCAGUAGAUACCAGCUAUUCAUUUUGGUCUGAGAGUCGCAGCCAGGUGAACAUUAGUGUUACUCUGGGUCAGGCCGUCUUCUAAGUGCUGUUGGCUGUGUCACCUCAUGUUGAGACGUCCCAAGGGCUCUGUUACCUUUUUCAUGGUUUGAAUUGUUACGUCACCCUGGCGUUCUUGAACAAAGAAUUGGACAAAACACACAAAGCAAGGAAAGAAGGAAGCAACAAAAGCAGAGACUUAUUAAAAAUGAAAGUACACCCCACAGGGUGGGAGCAGCCCAUGAGGCUCAAGGGCCCGGUUACAGAGUUUUCUGGGAUUUAAAUACGCUGUAGAGGUUUCCCAUUGGUUACUUGGUGCACACCCUAUGUAAAUGAAGUAGUGGACCAUACUCAGUCUGAUUGGUUGCAGGAGAGGACCAACCAGAGGCUGAAGUGAAGUUAUAAAGCUAUACCCUAUGCAUCUGAUUAGUUGCAGAACGCAACCAAUCAGAGAUUGAAGUUACAAAGUUAUACUCCUAUGUAAAUAAAGUCUUGACCUGUGAACAGCUUCAUUGGCUGUGGGAGGGGACCAGUCAGAGGUACUGAGAGUUUCUUAUCUGCCACGUGGAAAAAGGGGGGUUGCAAAGGGAGUAGCUUCUGGUCCUUUUGUUACUUGGAUGUGGAAAGUUGGGGUUUUCCUUUUGAUUUAGUUCUAGGAAGUCGGCGUGAAUCGGCUUUGGGUUUACUGCCUCAGAAUGGUCUCAGUUUUGAUCAGCUGAGUCAAACGAAAAUUAGGUCCUGAGACUAAUGCAGUCAUCUGCAGCUGGAUCCAGUUUAGGAAGCAGGUUGAGUGAUUAAAGGACCAGAAAGUCUGAUCUAAUUAUAUUCUAGGACUGAUUUCUUCUAUGUAGAGUAAAAAUACCGGGGUAUGUUCCAGACCUGUUCAAAGCACUGAAAUGUCCUUUAGUGAGUGACCUCACAGUACCUUCUGAGGGGUGUUUAUUAUUCCUAUCUCACAGCUGAGCGGGCUGAGGCACAGAGAAACUGACCUGCCUAA